GCUUCAGUAGCUCAGUUGGUUAGAGCGUGUGGCUGUUAACCACAAGGUCGGAGGUUCAACACCUCCCGGGAGCG
rfam:Brassica oleracea var. oleracea cultivar TO1000 chromosome C3, whole genome shotgun sequence